GUUUAACUGAGGAUCAGAGGGGAAAGGUGACUGGCCCGAGUCCCUUCAGCUAACAAGCAGCAGCUGUAGGAUUCAAAUCAAGCUCUGAUGCCUCUGGCACUUCUGCUUCUCUGUACAUCAUGGUGUCUCCUUGCAAAAGCCUCUGAUCAGUUUUCUGCCAACUGAUACUAUAGCCUUAAAGGAUCCCACCCAGGGUACCACAGUGCAUUCAGUUGUCACUUCUUAGAGUCCUCUUGGCUGCAACAGUUUCUUGGAUCUUUCCUUGUUUUUGAUGACUUGGACAAUGCAGAGGAUUGCUGUUCAGGCAUAACCAAGGCAUUUGCCUGUCAGGAAAAAGCCUUCACCUUGACUAGAACAGCUCUGAAAUCAGACAACGAAGAUGCAAGUCGUGGUCCUGUCACCAGCUGUGUGAGCUUGCACAAGUCUCUGCGACUCUUUGAGACAGGUUCUUCAUCUGUCAUAAGGGGACUAGUUACUAUAACUCAGGGUUCACUGACAACCUUAGAUGCGCUAAUACAUGUAAAGUCAGCUCAUUAGAUAAAGAUUUCCUUUCUUCCAUCUCCUCUUCUUGCCCUGGGGAAGAAUCCAGUGCCCUGAUGGCCCCUCUGGAGAGAGGUGGAGAAGAACCUGCUGCUUAUAGGGUGGGAGUUCUUUGGGAUCCAUGAAUAGGUCUUACUGUGUUCAUGAGCCCCAGGAAUAUUAAGCAAAACUGUGUGUGUGCAGAUGCAUUUUUCUGAGUGGAGAGUCUAUAGCUUCCAUCAAAUGUCCAAUGGGGGACAGCCCUGGUGGCUCAGCGGUUUGGCGCUGCCUGCAGCCCAGUGUGUGAUC